rnacentral:misc_RNA from 1 species
UCCUCCCUCAAAACUCCUUGUUUUGGCGUUGGGCCGCGUUGUUCUCCCCUGAACAACUGGCCUCAAAGACAAUGACGGCGUCCGUGGGACCCUCUUCGCAACGAGCUUUCCGGAGCACGCGUCGAGUCUAAAGGACCUUCCGGGCCGGUCUACCCUUUAUUUACUUCUAAGG